CCUACGGGUGGCAGCAGUGGGGAAUAUUGCACAAUGGGGGAAACCCUGAUGCAGCGACGCCGCGUGAGUGAAGAAGUAAUUCGUUACGUAAAGCUCUAUCAGCAGGGAAGAAAAUGACGGUACCUGAGUAAGAAGCCCCGGCUAACUACGUGCCAGCAGCCGCGGUAAUACGUAGGGGGCAAGCGUUAUCCGGAUUUACUGGGUGUAAAGGGAGCGUAGACGGGGCGCCAAGUCUGGAGUGAAAUGCCGCGGCUUAACUGCGGAACUGCUUUGGAAACUGGCGAACUAGAGUGUGGGAGGGGUAAGCGGAAUUCGUAGUGUAGCGGUGAAAUGCGUAGAUAUUAGGAGGAACACCGGUGGCGAAGGCGGCUUACUGGACCGUAACUGACGUUGAGGCUCGAAAGCGUGGGGAGCAAACAGGAUUAGAUACCCGGGUAGUC
rnacentral:rRNA from 1 species